UUAACUUUUGCCGUUUUGGAGAGGAGUUGCGUUAGGUGUGCCUUGGAUUGUCGGCCAGAUAAUCGAGAGGGCCGCAAGAAGACGUUUUCGUGAGUUAGAGGACGUCUGUCCGACGUUUGCUGUGCUGUAACCAGUGAGACUGCUCGUUAACAGUGGGAGUGUCACUAGCCGUGUGGACAGACUGUGAGCCGCGCUAGCUAACCCAGCUAUACAAAAGCUUCGUCUGGACUGUUUCCGACCUGUAGGCAUAACUACCAAGCUCCCUGAGCCAACCUAAGAGUGGAGCCUGCCCAGGAAGCGACUCCACAGUGGAGGACUGUAGGCAGGUUUUGGUGCCAGAUACAACAGCACAACUUCAGAGUUCCAUGGAGUUCAUGUCUUGACAGGUCAGGGCAGUUUUGGCGGCAAAAGAGAGACCUACACAAUAUUAAGCAGGUGGUCAUAAUGGCAGAGGCUACUAUGCAAGGUGCCAACUGCUAGCAGAAACCUUAUUCAUUCACAUAUGCUCACAGAACAGCAAUUUGUUGUUCAGUAUCUUGGUUAAGGACACUUUGACAAGCCAGCUGUCUGGAGGAUCAAACCACCAACCUUCUGAUUAGUGGAGAACACAUCUCACAAAUCUGCCAUUACAAUCUGUGCUGCAUACAACACUCUAUCCUGUUCUUAGACCCUAGAAUCUACAGGACAUGUGGACAGAUAAUAAACCUGUAAAACAGGAGAAAUGAUUAAGCAGAUUAAACUAUGUUAAACCAAAAAUGUGACCAUACAUUUUGUGUGGGUCAUAAAUCCAAUUAGGAAAAACUUCCCAAGAACCUCUUAAAAACACAAAACCUCAGGAAGAGCAACAGAGGAGGGACAAAGAGACAUGCUAGAGCUGUCAUGUGUAUGGAUUAGACAUAUGAUCAAAUAUAUGUUGAAUGUUAUGAAUCCAGAAGAAUGUCAAGCAGCUUCCAGGUGCCACUAAACAGCCACACAACCUACUCUCCACCAUGGAGAGUUGGAAAGAGGACAGACAGAAACACAGAAACGUCAAAUUAGCACAUCAUUCACAAAGAGGGAGAAGAGACAAGGACACCAUUCAUACAAGGGGAGAAAAAGAGACAAGAGGUGAGGCUGGGUCUCCUAGAGGACAACAUCCAGAUCCCAAACGUGCUAAGUUUGUCCUGGACGAUGCUAUGGGAAAAGGUGCUAUAAGUCAGGGAGUCUCAAUAAAUCGUGUUGCCCCCUAAGUGUUGUAACAUAUGUAAUGUAUAUGUGAACCUUGAGGUCAGUGCAGUAAAGCUUUUACAAGAUUUA